GAUGAACGCUGGCGGCGUGCCUAAUACAUGCAAGUCGAGCGAACAGACGAGGAGCUUGCUCCUUCGACGUUAGCGGCGGACGGGUGAGUAACACGUAGGUAACCUACCUAUAAGACUGGGAUAACUUCGGGAAACCGGAGCUAAUACCGGAUAAUAUUUCGAACCGCAUGGUUCGAUAGUGAAAGAUGGCUUUGCUAUCACUUAUAGAUGGACCUGCGCCGUAUUAGCUAGUUGGCAAGGUAACGGCUUACCAAGGCAACGAUACGUAGCCGACCUGAGAGGGUGAUCGGCCACACUGGAACUGGGACACGGUCCAGACUCCUACGGGAGGCAGCAGUAGGGAAUCUGCCGCAAUGGGCGAAAGCCUGACGGAGCAACGCCGCGUGAGUGAUGAAGGUCUUCGGAUCGUAAAACUCUGUUAUUAGGGAAGAACAAACGUGUAAGUAACUGUGCACGUCUUGACGGUACCUAAUCAGAAAGCCACGGCUAACUACGUG
rnacentral:rRNA from 1 species